AGAGACAGCAGCAGCCGCGGGAAUACAGAGGGUGCGAGCGUUAAUCGGAUUUACUGGGCGUAAAGCGUGCGUAGGCGGCUUUUUAAGUCGGAUGUGAAAUCCCUGAGCUUAACUUAGGAAUUGCAUUCGAUACUGGGAAGCUAGAGUAUGGGAGAGGAUGGUAGAAUUCCAGGUGUAGCGGUGAAAUGCGUAGAGAUCUGGAGGAAUACCGAUGGCGAAGGCAGCCAUCUGGCCUAAUACUGACGCUGAGGUACGAAAGCAUGGGGAGCAAACAGGAUUAGAUACCCCCGUAGUCCCUGUCUCUUAUAA
rnacentral:rRNA from 1 species